CCCUUAGAUGUCCUGGGCCGCACGCGUGCUACACUGGUACAUUCAACGAGUUUACAACCUGAACUGAUAAGUUUGGGUAAUCUUUUGAAAAUGUACCGUGAUUGGGAUAGAUGAUUGCAAUUGUUCAUCUUCAACGAGGAAUGCCUAGUAAACGCAAGUCAUCAGCCUGCAUUGAUUACGUCCCUGCCCUUUGUACACACCGCCCGUCGCUCCUACCGAUUGAAUGAUCCGAUGAAUAUCAUGGAUUGAGGAUGCAAGUAGGUUCGCCUAUCUUCAUCUUCGAGAAGUGAAGUAAAUCUUAUCAUUUAGAGGAAGGAGAAGUCGUAACA
rnacentral:rRNA from 1 species